UCAGUUGUGAAAGUUUGCGGCUCAACCGUAAAAUUGCAGUUGAUACUGGGUGUCUUGAGUACAGUAGAGGCAGGCGGAAUUCGUGGUGUAGCGGUGAAAUGCUUAGAUAUCACGAAGAACUCCGAUUGCGAAGGCAGCUUGCUGGACUGUAGCUGACGCUGAUGCUCGAAAGUGUGGGUAUCAAACAGGAUUAGAUACCCUGGUAGUCCACACAGUAAACGAUGAAUACUCGCUGUUUGCGAUAUACAGUAAGCGGCCAAGCGAAAGCGUUAAGUAUUCCACCUGGGGAGUACGCCGGCAACGGUGAAACUCAAAGGAAUUGACGGGGGCCCGCACAAGCGGAGGAACAUGUGGUUUAAUUCGAUGAUACGCGAGGAACCUUACCCGGGCUUGAAUUGCAACUGAAUGAUGUGGAGACAUGUCAGCCGCAAGGCAGUUGUGAAGGUGCUGCAUGGUUGUCGUCAGCUCGUGCCGUGAGGUGUCGGCUUAAG
rnacentral:rRNA from 1 species